rnacentral:sRNA from 1 species
AAAUCUAAAAUUGUUGUCAUCUGGCUGUACAACACAAAGCUGUACAAAAUUUUAGAUUAACGGAUCUGAUUGUUUACAAUAAGUCGUAUAAAAAAUUUAGGUGUACGUUUUUUCGGAAUAUUAUAAAGCUGUAAAAAAGAACGGUACGAGAAAACCUUACAAUAAAAGUGAGAGUAAAACUUUUUGUAACACUUUUGAUAAUCUUUUUGUGUUUUGUAUAAAAAAAAGCUAUACAAAUUGUAAUACUUUGU